rnacentral:snRNA from 1 species
UCGUCGAGACUCCUCUACCCUGUGCAAAGGUGUAUGAGUUUCGACCCCAGAGCUCUGUGUGCUUUCUGUUGCUGCUUUAUUUCGACCCCAGAGCUCUGGUCUGUGUGCUUUCAUGUCGCUGCUUUAUUAAAUCUUACCUUCUACAUUUUAUGUAUGGUCUCAGUGUCUUCUUGGGUACGCGGCUGUCCCGGGACU